rnacentral:rRNA from 1 species
UAGGGAAUCUUCGGCAAUGGACGAAAGUCUGCCCGAGCAACGCCGCGUGAGUGAAGAAGGUUUUCGGAUCGUAAAACUCUGUUGUUAGAGAAGAACAAGGACGUUAGUAACUGAACGUCCCCUGACGGUAUCUAACCAGAAAGCCACGGCUAACUACGUGCCAGCAGCCGCGGUAAUACGUAGGUGGCAAGCGUUGUCCGGAUUUAUUGGGCGUAAAGCGAGCGCAGGCGGUUUCUUAAGUCUGAUGUGAAAGCCCCCGGCUCAACCGGGGAGGGUCAGUGGAAACUGGGAGACUUGAGUGCAGAAGAGGAGGGUGGAAUUCCAUGUGUAGGGGUGAAAUGCGUAGAUAUAUGGAGGAACACCAGUGGCGAAGGCGGCUCGCUGGUCUGUAACUGACGCUGAGGCUCGAAAGCGUGGGGAGCAAACAGG